rnacentral:rRNA from 1 species
UACGAAGGGGGCUAGCGUUGUUCGGAAUUACUGGGCGUAAAGCGCGCGCAGGCGGCUAUCCAAGUCAGUGGUGAAAGCCCGGAGCUCAACUCCGGAACUGCCAUUGAAACUGUUAGCUUGAGGAUGAGAGAGGUGAGUGGAAUUCCCAGUGUAGAGGUGAAAUUCGUAGAUAUUGGGAAGAACACCGGUGGCGAAGGCGGCCAACUGGUCCGGUACUGACGCUGAGGUGCGAAAGCGUGGGGAGCAAACAGG